AGCUGCUUGAUGGUGCUAUCAAGCGGCUUGAUGUACAGCGUGUUGUCCUUCAGAUUCACAUCGCCGGUGGCCCGGACCAGCUCGCCAUCGAGCGGAAUAUCCAAAUGUAAGCGACCACUCACAUCGCCGCCAAUCUGCAGCUCAUCAAGCGCGGCACCCAGUGACGGUUUCAAUGGCGUCUGAUUAAAGUAAUCGCCAAUCGCUUUGCCGGCACCGUUGAUGUCAGCAUCAAUGAUCAGCUUCUCUUUCAGAUAAUCCGGGAUUACCGCCGAGAUAUUUCUGCCAUCAACCUGCCCCAGUUUGGUGUGUUCGGCUUUCAUAAACAGGCCGUCAUUCACGAAGUCGAGGUUGAUAUCCAGAUUUUGCAGAUCCGGCCAGCCUGGCUGGAACUGGAAGGUUGAUUGUUUCAGCGGCACC
rnacentral:ncRNA from 1 species